rnacentral:rRNA from 1 species
UACAGAGGUCCCAAGCGUUGUUCGGAUUCACUGGGCGUAAAGGGUGCGUAGGUGGUGGGGUAAGUCGGAUGUGAAAGCUCGGAGCUCAACUCAAGAAAUGCAUUCAGGACUGGGCGGCUAGAGGACCGGAGAGGAUAGUGGAAUUCCCAGUGUAGUGGUGAAAUACGUAGAGAUUGGGAAGAACACCAGUGGCGAAGGCGGCUAUCUGGACGGUUUCUGACACUAAGACUCGAAAGCGUGGGGAGCAAACAGG